CAGAUCUACCUGAACAGGGCAGGCAUCAAAGUGUGUGGCCCUUAGUUGGAUCAAGUGUGCAAGAAUAGAGCUGAAGUCCAUGCCAUUUAAUCCUAUAUUCAAGUUUUCAGUUUUAUCCAUAUCAGAAUAAAUGCAUGAAAUUCUUCCUUAAAAAAUAAAAAAUCCAAUCAUUGUCUCAAACACAUUUAAAAAAAAGAUUGGAAGCAAAAAGAAGAGAGAAUUAUUUUACCCUCUGGCAGAUUAUUUUCACAGUGUGAAAAAAGAUUGUACCUUUUUUAUUUUAAGACUAAAGAUGGACAUCAGUUGCAGUGAAGAUGAUAAAAAAUAUAAUAUAAAAUAUAAUUUUUUGGUUAUUUGAGAGAUAACACUUUGCAUUUUAAAUAGGAAAGUUUCUUUUUGUCAAACCCUGUUUUAAUAGAAAUAGAAUGUCCUUUAGCUGAUUUGACAGUCUCCAUGUGUUUUUGCUGGUUUGGGUCAGAUCACAUUUAGCUGUUCACAGGUUUGUUUUUUGUCCCCAGCUCUUCCACCUCUCAUGGGUCCCACUCCACCCUUGAACUGAACAUGCCCUCAAUUGUAUGCUGGAAGAGAAACAUUCAUUUAAUACUACUCUUUGUUUUCCCUGACAGCAUAUCUAGUUGGCCUGUACUUCGGCCGGAGGUUGGCAGCUAGGAGUGUGUGGCCUCAGAGCCGUGCGUACUACACACGUUGCGUUGGACUCCUGAGUCAUCGAGCUGCCUCUCUUGGCGGCGUCACCUGGGAAGCUGCGCCUUCACUUACUGGACAGGAGCUAUGGGUCAGUGGCGAGUGGCUGACUGAUCCCUGCGUGGUGGUCCCUUCACGUCCUGUACAGUAGUGCACUUUGGGGUGUCAAUCAAUGAUGUGUGGGCUUUCACAUGUGAUGUGUGCAGUAUCCGGAUCCUUCCCUCUUCCCCUCAGUUAGCUACCUCCGCCUGGUGAGCCCUCAGCCCUGUGCCUAGUCUAUACACUUUACCAGCAAACUUAAAAAUUAAAAAGGCCCUUAGGGAUCGUGCAAUAUCUUGCCACUAAUUUUCCUAUCAGUCACUUGUAUCACCAUCAAGAGAUUUUU